GGGCGAUUAGCUCAGCGGCAGAGCGUCUCGCUUACACCGAGAAGGUCGGAGGUUCGAAUCCUCCAUCGCCCACCA
rnacentral:tRNA from 2 species